GUUCGUGCAAACUCUCAUUUCAUAUAUUUCGUAACACUCGUAACAAAGUCGGAUGUGUCGUGUGUCUUAAAUUGACAAAAUUAUUUCGUUAGAAUUGAAUAUAAAACAAAUCGCGUUUCACUCUAAGCUUCUUUAGUGGUUAAAAAAAAAAAAAAAACUUGAAUCAACGAUAUAGGUAAUUCAUCCAGGAAUUCGUACCUACCUACUUACCAAAGGUAAGAUUUUCUCGAACGAAUUUUCUUAGAAAAAUACAAAUUAAGUUUUCGGUAUCUUUCCUAAAAAAUUCAAUCACGAAAAAUCCACGUAUUUUUUAAAACAUUUCUUCAUGAGGCAAACCCUUCAAAAAAAGAGAGUACCUAUAGUCUUUUUUCAAAAAAAAAAGGUUGAAAUUUUUUUAAAAUUCAAAAUAACAAUUUCUUCGUACUUGUUUGACAACUUUUCAAAGUCCAGAAAGUUGACCAUGCUUUUUUUGAAAAAUUGGAGAAGGAGAUUGACAAGAAAAUCGUAGAUACUUAUAUGUAUUGUAAGUAACUAUAGUCCAAUGUAGAACGAAGAAAUUGAACGUCAUGUGAAAUUUAUCAGAAAAUUUGAAAUCGUAUCAAAAAGGGAUGACUGCAUUAGGUACCAUUUUUCAAGUCUAAUUGCAAUUCGAUUCAAUUUUUGAAAUUUUUUAAUCUGCAUUUAUCGCUGCUUCGAGAUACAUAUAACUGCAAAUUUCGAGGUCACUUUUUUAGAAGAUUGGCCUUUUGUGUUUUGAGCUCAGUAUUCGUAGGCUGAUACCUAUUUUUCUUUCACCACUACCUCCAUUUCAAUAACCAAAACAUCGGAAAAUGCAAAAAAUAGGGCAUCAGGACAAUUUGAAAGAAAAAAUCUUGAAAUAGAAAAACAUAUACUUACUCGUACAUUUAAUUUUUCAAAGUAAAAUAAUUUUAGAGCCGGAAAAAUUUCACAAAUUUCCUCCUCUCGCACCAAAAGCAAAAAUAUUGUGUUUUUCACGUAAGAAAUUCCUGUUCAUCAGCAUAUCGACCAAAAAUUUUGAAAUUCCUGUAUAUGAUCAGAGGAACCCGGUGGGGGGGGGGGUCUGGGCAUUUCCCUGCCUCUUCGUUUCCAGGAAUUAGAGGUAGCAAAUAAACGCGGCUUCGGUGGAAAACCUACCUACCGAAAUAGGAACAUUAAGUUACGUAUGAAGGUGUUACCUAUCUCAAUUGACGAUUAUCACUUCUAAAUAUGCACCAACAACGUCGAAACUAAUCAUCGACAGAAAAACCUGAGGAAAUGACAACUCGUUUCCAAUUUGAUAAUGGUACUCGUAUAUCACCUUAUCAACAUUAUUAAACUGAUUACAACACUCUUUUUCGCUAAAUAUUCUUAAUCAUUCUGCUGUUUUUAUACGACUAUCAACAAAUUUUCGGCGAAAAACAGUUAUCAAGGGGAAAUAAAAAAUGAAAUAAUAAUUUAAAAUGAGCACUCAACCUCUUCUGACUGCAUUUACAUAUCACCACAUAUCCCAUAAGAUGUGUGUCCUUUGUUAACGUUACUUAGGUAUCUACUUUUUAAAUUAAUUUUACAACAAAUCGUGAUUCAUUAAUGUAGGUACUUUACUUUAGUGGUUCAUAAAACUAAAAACCGCCAGCAUUUUAAUACUGAUUCUUCGCUCUCGACGACGUUCGCCAGAGAGAAUCUAUAAAAUACCACGAGCUGUUUGAAAGUACAUACAUCAGAAUUCAGUGUUCGGUACAUAUUUCAAAACGGAAUCUACGUUAUUUGAGAAAAAAUAAUGGACAAAUCAACGGAAUGAUAGCGUAGCCCCUAAACAUAUAUGCAAUUGUUAUCGCAAUGGAUUUUCCUAAGCUCUUACUCAUACUAUCGAUACACGCGUUUAUAUUUUGUCUGAACACGAAUUCCUCAACUGCAAAAUCAGAUAACGCAGCUGAAGAAGAAAACAGCGAAGCAGAAAACGAUACCACAGAACACGAGAAGGAUAUUACGCUAAAACCACCAAAACCUUCGAGUCCUUCAGCACCUUCGUUCAGAAAAAAAGAUGACCUUGACCCACCGUUGCCAAACCUGCCGGUAACUCUGUAGAAUUGAAAUGUCAAGCAACAGGCAAUCCAACGCCAAACAUUACUUGGCUAAAGGACGGUUUCCCGGCGACUAGAACUUUGGGUACAAUAAAACCUCGAGGAAAAUGGUCAAUCAUUAUGGAAGACAGCCGCAUUGGCGAUGAGGGAAAUUAUACAUGCGUUGUGUGUAACAUGUACGGCUGUAUAAAUCACACGUUCAAAGUAAAAAUAGUAGAACGACCCCGCGCCAAACCACAAAUCAAGGAUGGCUUUCCCAAAAAUCUCACCGUUUUGGUGAACACAAAUGCGACAUUCGAGUGCCCGUCGCAUGCCAGUAAUGCGUGGUAUGUGGAGUGGAUAAGACCAUUUUCAAAUCAGUCGUUGAAUGCUACAUUUCCACCAGAAGGAUAUCACAUAAAGGACAAUGAAGCAAUUCUCGAGCUACACAAUGUAACUCACGACGAUGCAGGAUGGUACACUUGUGUGGCAGCAAAUAAUCUCGGUGCCUCUUAUGCAAACGCCUAUUUGAAAGUCGUAGACGAACUAGAAGAUCCAUUAAACAUGACAACUAUGCCGUCGCCGUAUAAUUCAACAAUAUUUAAAAAAGACCAGCCAAAUAACCAAUCAACAAAUUGGCUAACGGAAAACAUUAAUUUGAUAAUAAUCCUAAUAGUGGCAGUAACAUUUACUGUGGUCGCAGUAUUCGUUGUUUAUAGAAAAUAUGCAGUAAGAUCGCGAAACAUGCAACAACAAAUUAAUAAAAUGGGCAUGGAAAUGGCAGCUGAGUCGUAAUGCGUAAAACGUGUGAUGAUUGAAAACGAAAUUAAGCUGGACAAAAAUGAAUUAGACAUACUGAUACUUCAGAUACCAAUGCCUUCGUAAUUCGGAAACAAAUAAUACCAAGUUGGGCGAGCUGCAGCAAUAACGAAACUGUAAAUACUUAUUCGCCGUUGGGAAUUAACUCGCUAUGUAUCUUCUCAAAUUCUUCUUCGUAAUAUUUGCAUACACCGUUACACUCCUUAUAACCGCGGAUCACUCGAACGGGCAACGGGGCGAUGAAAUCUCGAGUGAGUUUGAAGAAGAUAUACCAAACAACUUUACUCAUCUGGCCGUGGAUGAACAAGGGAGAUGGGUAUACAUAGUUGCGGUAGACUAUCUUUAUCAAUUAUCAUCGGAUCUUAAAUUGCAUAUCAAACACCCUACACCGCAUCCCGAGUCUUCCGACUGUAGUCGUUACUCUUACAAUAAGGAUAGCUGUUCGGAUGGUUCUAAGCAAAAGUAUGCGAAUGAAAACCAAGUGCUGGUAAUGGAUCACCUGAAUCGGCAACUGCUAUCGUGCAGUACUUACUUCCGGGGUCUAUGUCACGCACACGAUAUCGAAAAUAUUUCCAAAAUUGUGGCGACCGGGUCCGAACCUGAAGUGCUGGUUGACGGUUUACAGCCGAUGGUAGCCUUCGUAGCUCCUACAUUAUUAGGAAACUCAUCGACACCAGCAUCUGCGCUACAUAUGGCCUUUGUUAUUCGCAGUCUCAAGCCAAAAAUGUUUGCAUUAUCAAUGACUGCCAAAAAUGCGCGACGAGAACGUUUUUUAUCAAAUCUCGGAGGAGAUACUAUCUAUUAUGAUGGCUUCAUGAGACCCACGUAUGCUUUCAAUGAUGGAAACUCGGGCUAUUUUUUGAUUGGUGGAUAUGAUAACUGGGGUCUACCUAUUGACUCUCUGAUUCUGAAGAGAAAAUCUGUAUUAGCCAUCAAGAUAGAUCAUGAAAAUGGAAACUAUUCGUAUAGUAAAUUUGUUUUAACUUGCGACGAUUACUUUCAAAAAUAUAAUUCGUCCACUACACAAUAUCAGUUCACUAACAUGAUACUCGAAAAGGCGUACAUCUACGAGAAUAAGCAAGAAACAGAUGAGAAAGUAUUAUUCACGCUUUUCGGAAUGUACGGGAUCAGUGGUGAUGACUAUGAGGCAAAACGUACAAAAGGUUUUGCAGUAUGCAUGCAUCGUAUGAAUGGGGUACGUUACGAUCAUAUUAAAAAAUAUCAAGUACUGGAUGGAGAUCUUGUAUAUUCAUACCCAUGUCCUGGCAUAGCCCCCACAGGACUUGCAGCCACCUCCGUUAAUAACCACACAGUCCUGUUUAUUGGUACACAAACUGGUCAUCUACUCAAGAUAUCAAUAAAAGGAUUUCAUUCACCCGAUGCGCGUACUGCAAAUACUUAUGCAGAUAUUACUAUUAGUUGGCUCGCAUUUCCAAUAAAUUCGGAUAUGCUGUUUGAUCCUGAAAAAACCCACUUAUAUGUAAUGACAAAACAUACACUCACCAAAGUCAAAAUUCAUAAUUGUAACAAACAUAAUACAUCAGACUCGUGUUUACGUGCAAAAGAUCCUUAUUGUGGAUGGUGUUUUCAUAGCGAUAGAUGUUGCUUGAAAUCAGAAUGUAAUGACAAACAAAAUAGAACCAAAUGGAUCUCCAUGUUGGUUGAAUUUAUUAAUUGUGGUGAAUACAAAUUGUGCUCGCAAUGUUUAAAUUCUUACAUAUGCUACUGGAAUGUAAAUGAUAAGAAUUGCACAAGUAGAAAGAUUUGGAACGAUAGUUCUCAGAGGUGUGAUGGCGGCUGUUCAACAGGGAACAUGUAUUCUUUUUUGUUGGACGAAUGUCCACAGUUCAGCAUCAUAAAUGAGACUUCAUCACACAUGUACAUACACUCUGAUGCAGAAAAGAAAAAAAUAAUCACAGUGAAAUACACAAUUCCUGUAAAUUCAACCAAUGAAACAUUUACAUGCAAAUUUGACAUAGACAGCAACGAGAGCAUGAAACCUGCACAUGCACACACGCGGGAUGUCAGAUCUAAUCAUGGUACUUCUAAUGGAAUUAUCGAAUGUCCUGAGACGAUAUUUACAUACGCUGCUAAAACAGCUAACAUAACUGCAAACUUGUCUGUUUUAUGGAAUGGCUCAAUAUAUCUUGAAAACAUCGCCAAUCAACAAAUUAUUUUAUAUAAAUGCGCCAACAUGAGCGGUCAGUGCGAAACGUGUCUGGAUAAAAACUACAAAUGCAUAUUCAAUUCGGAAACUGGAGAAUGCAAAUACGACAGCUCGGAUGUAGCAUCUGACCUGAACAAUCAUUGGUGGAAUGACACAGAAAAGUGUCCAAAUUUUGAAAUCACUCGAAAAACUCAUUGGUUAAUGGAAAACAUCCAAUUGAUCAUUAUCAUAAUAGUAGUGAUAGCACCCGAUUGGCACAUUUCUGGUGAUGUCUGACUAAUCAUUUCUGCAGUCAGAAAUUGCCGUUUUGACAGUCAGAUUCGCAGUCUGACUACAAUCAACCAAUCAGAAACAAGUAUUUUUUUGAAAUUCCAAGAUGGCGGUGACUCGUCAGAAGACUGAGUGGAGAUCUGAGCAUGGAUCUGACUAGUCAGAUCCACACUCAGAACCACAGUCAGAUAUUGCCGUUUUAGCAGUCAGAAAAUACAUUCUGACUAAUAUGUAGUCAGAUCCCUAUUCAGAUGCACUGUCUAAAAAAUGCCGUUUUGCCAACCGGGCACUUACUGUGGUAGUAGCACUCUUCGUCAUUUUUUAUAGAAAAUUUAAGAAAAGAUCUCAAAAAAUGCAACAGCAAAUUAAUAAAAUGGGUAUGGAAAUAAUAUCUAUGUCACAAUGGGUAAAACGAGUAGUGAUCGAGAAUGACAUCGCACUGGAUGAGAAUGAAUCAGACAUGUUGAGAUUACCAAACGUCAGUAUCCAAUACACGUCUAUUCCAAGAUUUGCUGAAGAUGCAACUGUACCGAAAGAUGAAUACGAAUUACCUCCUGAUGCUAACUGGGAAAUUCCUCGAAAAAACAUCGUUCUAGGAAAAUGUCUAGGAGAAGGACAGUUCGGAGAAGUUGUCGAAGGAAAGGUUUUAGGCCUGUUACAGCAGAAUGUCGUCACAACAGUCGCAGUAAAAAUGUUGAAAAGUAUAUUUCAUCUAAUUAGUUUUGACAAAUCAUAAGUACUCGCGUGAUACUUAAGCAUAAGCUAACAAUCAAUAAAGAAUAGAAGCUUUAAAAAAAAAAACUCAUUUGACAGAUAGCCACACUGACGCGGAUAUGGUAAAUUUAGUCAUGGAAAUGGAA